CUUACCUGGUUAUGUUCAUAAAAUCAAAACCACGACAGUAACGCUUAAAACGCCAACCGCAGGAAACUAACUUUUCACUUCAGACGCUCCUGCUGUGCUCCCCAGGCUUCCGAUCACCGGCCAGCAAGUGAGCUAGCGCUGCCGAGGAAACCAACUACAAGGUCCAUCAUGCUUUGCGCGGCAACCGGAAGUCCCUGGCUAUUUGAAAA